rnacentral:rRNA from 1 species
AUGCAGUGCUCAAGAGGUAGCAAGAAGAAUUUCUGGCGCCGUUGCCGGGGAGUUUGCGCAAAAGUCAACCAUACCAAGUACCCAUCACAAUCCCUAUCUCCCGCAUUACAUUAUUUUCCUCUCGUUUUCCUCUCCCCCACUUCACCCUUGCCGUUUUAUUCGCUCUCUCUUUCCCAAUCUCCUCCUCUCUUUCCCUUUUGCCUUUUUCUUGUUUGCCUUCCCGUUGCCAUGGCCAAAUCAAAAAGAACUAAGGGAUUUCUCCCGAGUUCUAGUGCCUUGGAUAACCCCUCUAUCCUUUCUAAGCUCAUAAACAAUGAUGCUAUGGAAAGACCCGCCGGGAUCACCAAUGAGAAUUUAGAUAAUUUUGAUGAUGAUGAUUCUGGAAUCUUUCGCUAUUUAGUUGAUGAAUCUUUAAAAGAUGCUUGGGAUAGGUUAUUAAGGAUUCGGGCUAGUUAUGUGCCACAAUACCAAAUUGAGGUUUACUUAAAAAGUUUCUAUGUUGGCUUGCCCGCUUCUUUCAAACAAGUUCUAGAUUCUAUUUUUGAAGAAGGUUUUCUUGGAGGGGAUGCUAUAGAUACCUAUUAA